rnacentral:rRNA from 1 species
UACGGAGGGUGCAAGCGUUAAUCGGAAUUACUGGGCGUAAAGCGCGCGUAGGCGGUUUUUUAAGUCGGAUGUGAAAGCCCCGGGCUCAACCUGAGAACUGCAUCCGAUACUGGAUGACUAGAAUGCGGGAGAGGGAGGUAGAAUUCCAUGUGUAGCAGUGAAAUGCGUAGAUAUAUGGAGGAAUACCAGUGGCGAAGGCGGCCUCCUGGCUCGANAUUGACGCUGAGGUGCGAAAGCGUGGGGAGCAAACGGG